GUCUGGAUAGCUCAGUUGGUUAGAGUGUGGCGCUGAUAAUGCCAACAUUGCAGGUUCACAACUUAACAAGUCCCAUAUGGGACA